GCGACAUGUCCUUACUUGUAUAUUUUGGUUGAAAGGGUGCGCAUACAAUAAAUGGGAGUUUUUGUCCAUCUUACAUUUAGAAUUACGCGUAAAGUGGUAUUACUCAUUAACCAAACAUAUUAAAGACCUAGGGUCUUUUGAUUUAAGGUCCUUGGUUUGUGACCUUGAAAUUGAGGUCAAGGUCAUAGGUUAAUACAACGUUCUAGAUUUUGACCUUUGCUUUAAAUUCAUAUAAAUACAUCAUAAAGCCAUAGGAACUAACAUUUUAAACUGAUUUUUCAUAUUUCAAUAUCAAAAUAGAUCUUUACUAGUGGAAAGACCUACAAUUGUUCUCUGAACAAUUGGUUUUUAAUUAUUAUUAUUAUUAUUAUUAUUUUUUUUUUUUUUUCUUCCGCCUAAAUUUUUUUCUUGCGUAGUAUUGAUGUUUCAAAAGAUGUCGCUUAGAUAUUUGGAAUAUGAUAUCGUAUAGUUUAUACGCUUUAAAAAUUUACAACUGCGUAACAAAAUACUUUACGUUGUAAGAGUUAUCUCCCCAAACACUGUUUUUCUUGUGGCCACUACUCCUUCGCAACCGUAAAAGAUUACGACAAAUUUAUUUUACCAAAUUGCUCGUUACAUCUUCAGGAUUAGGAUAUUCAUUUGGACCGAAGCUUAUCCGGAGACUCCAUAUGAGAGUUAUUUCCCCCUUAUCUAUUUAGUAUAAGUGAUAUGCAUUUCUAACUGGUAAACCAUAAGUGAUAGAGACCUAGGGUCUUUGGAUUUGAGGUCCUU
rnacentral:lncRNA from 1 species